rnacentral:rRNA from 1 species
GUGAGUCCACCGUUAAAUCUGGCGACUCAAUCGUCAGGCUGCGGUGGAUACUGCUGGACUAGGAGGCGGAAGAGGUCGACGGUACUCCAGGGGUAGGGGUGGAAUCCUAUAAUCCUUGGAGGACCACCAGUGGCGAAGGCGGUCGACCAGGACGCGCUCGACGGUGAGGAACGAAAGCUGGGGGAGCAAACCGGAUUAGAUACCCGGGUAGUCCCAGCUGUAAACGAUGCGAGCUAGGUGUUAGGAGGGCCAUGGGCCCUGCUAGUGCCUCAGGGAAGCCCUUAAGCUCGCCGCCUGGGGAGUACGGUCACAAGGCUGAAACUUAAAGGAAUUGGCGGGGGAGCACCACAAGGCGUGAAGGCUGCGGUUUAAUUGGAGUCAACGCCGGGAAUAUUACCGGGGCCGACAGCAGAAUGAAGGUCAGAUUAAAGGUCUUGCUGGACGAGCUGAGCGGUGGUGCAUGGCCGUCGUCAGUUCGUGCCGUGAGGUGUCCUGUUAAGUCAGGCAACGAACGAGACCCUCACCACUAGUUACCAGCGGCACCCGACGGGUGCCGAGCACAAUAGUGGGACUGCCGUCGACAAGACGGAGGAAGGAGAGGACAACGGCAGGUCAGUAUGCCCCUAAUGCCCCGGGCCACACGCGGCCUGCAAUGGUAGGGACAGAGGGCUUCAACCUCGAGAGAGGAAGGCAAUCCCUAAACCCUAUCGUAGUCGGGAUCGAGGGCUGAAACUCGCCCUCGUGA